UGAACGCUGGCGGCAGGCCUAACACAUGCAAGUCGAACGGUAACAGGAAGCAGCUUGCUGUUUCGCUGACGAGUGGCGGACGGGUGAGUAAUGUCUGGGAAACUGCCUGAUGGAGGGGGAUAACUACUGGAAACGGUAGCUAAUACCGCAUAACGUCGCAAGACCAAAGAGGGGGACCUUCGGGCCUCUUGCCAUCGGAUGUGCCCAGAUGGGAUUAGCUAGUAGGUGGGGUAACGGCUCACCUAGGCGACGAUCCCUAGCUGGUCUGAGAGGAUGACCAGCCACACUGGAACUGAGACACGGUCCAGACUCCUACGGGAGGCAGCAGUG
rnacentral:rRNA from 1 species